ACCGCGUGCGAAGCGAUGCGAGCAGAGCCUGUGUGGAGGGAGAAACUCGUCAGGGCUGCUGAAAACACAGUAGAGAGGCGCUCUGUGGACUGAUUCGGCAUUACGAGCAGGUCCCAGCCAAGUAUCGACAAAUACCUUAACAACGUCGAAAGUAGCCUAUUUUAAGAGGAAAUAUGCAGAAGAAGAAGAAGAUUUACAUCAGGAUUACCAGGGGUAUUUUCCAAAACACCUGAUCCUGCCCGAAGACCGGACUUGUAUCUUGAAACUUUCUCUGCAGAAGCUCCAGUUCCUCGAAGAUCCCGAGAUCUACCUCCGCCGGUCCGUCUUGAUCAACAACCUGCUGCGGAAGAUUCACCUGGAAACGGAGCGGGAACGCUAUGAAUACUUUAAGGGGAGUCCGUGCUGCCGGACUGCCUACGCGGAUGCACGAAAACGGCUGAAGUUCAUGGUCCAAGAAUGCCGUUCUCAAUCCCUUUAUUACGAAGAGCUGCAUUCGUAUCGUAUCGUGCCUUACCCUACAGAGAAUGCCAUUUACAGAGUGGGCUACUCGAGUGGCCACUUGGAGCAGAAUUCUCAGCUGCUUAUUUAUAAGAUGGAGUAGAGGUCGUGCUUUAUUUUCUUGUAGACCUGCCGGUUGUUUUGCUUCUGAGCGGCUAGGAGGGCUUCUUAGCCUGCUAUGGUGAGGCGCUAGCUGCAACCACAGGGAGAGGUCAAAGGUUAGUCUGUCAUCUUAGGCUGCAAUGAUGGUUGCUCUGGGGGAGCUUCGGCCAGCUUGGUUGCAAACGUCGCUCGGUGUCCACUUGGAACUGGUGCAAUAGGGAGGUUCCUCAGAAGCAGAGAGAGAUCUUGCGCUCAGCGAACAGUGGCUUUUCGACUUGUCCGUUAUGUAUAUAGAUGAAUUAACAUUAGCAGCUUAACUAGACCACCCUUGCUUAGGAAACGUAAACUGAGACAGGAGACUAUACCGUUAGUGAGGUUUUGGUGAGAAUCAGAAAGGGUGGGUGGGACUGACUUCUCAGAAGGGUCAAGAAACAAGCUUUCAUUUUAAGGCAGUCCUUCGGCACUGAAGGAUUCUCUGCCGUUACAGAUAUGGAUUCCUUUUCACGCUUUUUUUUUUUGCUUAGGGUCCACGCUAUUGACUGUU